AGACUAGUCUGGCCAUGUAUAGAAUACUGAAGCAUCAAGUGUAGUGAAGCACUGCUUGCAAUGUUUGAUCAGCACCCAUAUGUAAUUUCUUGGGCCUAGGAACCAGAAAGAACACACUUCCUGUUGGACAGCACUGCCGUUCAUGGGGUGGUAACAAAGUUUUGAAAAACAUGGGUUAUCAAGAAAUACCAGAUGUAUUAGUUUCCAUAAACCUACCAUAUAUCUAGAAAGGAAAGUUUAAUCACUCCCUAAAGGCACGAUUUCAAAGAGUACUGUACAUACAGCAGUCAUCCCUCACAUCAAAUCUAUUGAAGAUCAUCAUAAAAGGCUGGAGUGGACUCUCUCUCUCAAAAAAUAUACUUCGUGUUUCUUUAUCUCUCGUGCUCAGUGGCCGAAGAAUUGGGUGAUGGAAGAGAUAAGACAUUUCUGUCUGGUACUGAUUCCAAGUUUGAAAUAAAAUCGACGCAUAACAGCAGUUCUAAGUUCUGUGCAUAGCAUUCAUCCUGUUUGAUGGAGGUUGCUAUGAAAGAUAAAAAGGAUUUGAGAAAUCUAAAAUAAAUUAAUUUGACUCUUGUUAUAAGACUCUUAU
rnacentral:lncRNA from 1 species